AGCUGUGAGAGAGCAGCAGUGUGGAAGCAUUUGGGGAAAUUUAAAGAAGGUUUCCUGGAAAAGAGGAUUGACUGUUACGUAAAGGGUCAGAGCCACUGAGUGGACAAAAUAUUAAGGAUACCUUCCUAAUAUUGAGUUACGCCUGGUCAGUUUGUCAUGGAAAGAAAAGAUGUCCUUAAUGUUUUGUGUAAAUUACAUAAUAAUUAUACAUUUAUGGAUUGUUUUAUGUUGCCUUUUGUUUUCAACCUGCCAUCUACCCACCUGGGGACUGAGGGUUAUGAGAGAACCCCCACAUCACUAGCUUCUCUUUAUUCAACCUGCCAUCUACCCACCUGGGGACUGAGGGUUAUGAGAGAACCCCCACAUCACUAGCUUGAAGGUUCUGCAGCCUUGUAAAGAUAAGGAGGGGACGACUGGGAGGCAGGUUGGCAUUUAUUGUCAUGAAUCUUGUUCUGGAGGCAGGUUGGCAUUUAUUGUCAUGAAUCUUGCCCUGGAGGCAGGUUGGCAUUUAUUGUCAUGAAUCUUGUUCUGGAGGCAGGUUGGCAUUUAUUGUCAUGAAUCUUGCCCUGGAGGCAGGUUGGCAUUUAUUGUCAUGAAUAUUGUUCUGGAGGCAGGUUGGCAUUUAUUGUCAUGAAUCUUGCCCUGGAGGCAGUUGGCAUUUAUUGUCAUGAAUCUUGUUCUGGAGGCAGGUUCAGCAAAGUAUUCCCUAGCUGGCACAGGCACAAAGUAAUAUAAUCAGAUUUUAAUCCUAACCUCAACCACACUGC
rnacentral:lncRNA from 1 species